rnacentral:rRNA from 1 species
GAUGAACGCUGGCGGCGUGCCUAAUACAUGCAAGUCGAGCGAACGGACGAGAAGCUUGCUUCUCUGAUGUUAGCGGCGGACGGGUGAGUAACACGUGGAUAACCUACCUAUAAGACUGGGAUAACUUCGGGAAACCGGAGCUAAUACCGGAUGAUAUUUUGAACCGCAUGGUUCAAAAGUGAAAGACGGUCUUGCUGUCACUUAUAGAUGGAUCCGCGCUGCAUUAGCUAGUUGGUAAGGUAACGGCUUACCAAGGCAACGAUGCAUAGCCGACCUGAGAGGGUGAUCGGCCACACUGGAACUGAGACACGGUCCAGACUCCUACGGGAGGCAGCAGUAGGGAAUCUUCCGCAAUGGGCGAAAGCCUGACGGAGCAACGCCGCGUGAGUGAUGAAGGUCUUCGGAUCGUAAAACUCUGUUAUUAGGGAAGAACAUAUGUGUAAGUAACUGUGCACAUCUUGACGGUACCUAAUCAGAAAGCCCCGGCUCCCUACGUC